GCAAACUUGGUCAUUUAGAGGAAGUAAAAGUCGUAACAAGGUUUCCGUAGGUGAACCUGCGGAAGGAUCAUUAUCGAGUGAGGGCUUCGGCCCAAAUCUCCCACCCGUGUCGAUAUAUAUCUCUGUUGCUUUGGCGGGCCCACUGGGGUCCCCCUUGGGGGUCCCCGGUCGCUGGAGAGGGGCCUUCCCGUCUUUGGAUGGGAGGGUUUCCCCCUCGGGCCCGUGUCCGCCGAAGACCCAUUGAACCCGUGUGAAUGUUUGGCAGUCUGAGUGAUGAUUGAAUCGUUAAAACUUUCAACAACGGAUCUCUUGGUUCCAGCAUCGAUGAAGAACGCAGC
rnacentral:misc_RNA from 1 species